ACGCCCCCCCGAAGGUUAAGCUAUCUACUUCUGGUACAACCCACUCCCAUGGUGUGACGGGCGGUGUGUACAANGCCCGGGAACGUAUUCACCGCAACAUUCUGAUUUGCGAUUACUANCGAUUCCGACUUCAUGGAGUCGAGUUGCANACUCCAAUCCGGACUUAGAUGCACUUUCUGAGAUUCGCUCAAGCUCGCACUCUCGCUGCCCUCUGUAUGCACCAUUGUAGCACGUGUGUAGCCCUACUCGUAAGGGCCAUGAUGACUUGACGUCAUCCCCACCUUCCUCCAGUUUGUCACUGGCAGUCUCCUUUGAGUUCCCGACCGAA
rnacentral:rRNA from 1 species